AACAUCAACAGAAAUUCAAGAAAAAAGAGAGGCCAAAAUCGAUGCAAAUUCAUAUUCAACAAGCAAUUUAGCAAGCAAUUACAAACAAAGCCAGCAAAACCAGCAACUACAAAUCAAAGCCAUUAGCAAAUUUGAACAAAAAAAUUAGGAGCCAUCAGCAAAACCAGCAAUUAGAAAACAAAGCCAGCAAUUACAAAACACUAAACCUUCACCCAGCAAUUACAAACAAAGCUAGCAAAACCAACAUAACCAGCAACUACAAAUCAAAGCAAAACCUGCAACUACAACACAAUGAAAAAUAAAUAUGAAAUUAAAAAGAGCCCCACAACACAAUGAACAAUAACAAGUUAGGAGCCAUCAGCAAUUAAAAACAGGACCCACAAUACAAUGAUUAACCAUGUUCUUAACCUAAAGCAGGAGCCAUCAGCAAUUAAAAACAGGACCAAAACAGAGUAACAGUUACAAUUUUCCAGCAUAUUAGGUGUUUUGGACCAAAACAGAGUAACAGUUAGAAUUGCAAAAUAGCAAAACACUAAAACAGCAAUAUUAGCCUAUUAGGUGUUCUGGAUACAAAUCACAUAACAGAGACAGUUUCUAGCAUUAUCAACCAACCCAAACAUACAUACAAGGAAGACCAUAGAUACAAGGAAUUGAAGAACAAAGAACGAAUUUCCACAGCAAUCAGAACCAUACAUACAAGGAAGACCGAAGAACAAAGAACGAAGAAUGAAGACUGAAGUCCGAAGAACGAAGACUGAAGACCGAAGAAGAAGAAGAACCAAACGUCAAGCCAAGACCCAAGAAGAAUUGAAGCAAUAUGGAUCAAAAAUUG
rnacentral:lncRNA from 1 species